UCUCCUGUUUUUGAAAGCUUAAAUUAAUGAUUGGGCCCUCUCCACCCACUGUUCUGAGAUCUUCUUCUAGGCUUUAAGGAUCCACAUAUUUGAAGUACCCUACAGGCCACAGCCUUAUAUAAAUAAGAGAGAGUUCUUUCAAGCUUAAACCAACAAACUGGAAUCAGCUCAACCACAAGUAGACAACAAUAUGAUCAGGAAAAAGUACCCUUCAAAGCCUGCUCUCUCUUUCUUUUCCCUUCUUUAUUUGAAGAUUUUCUUCUUUGAAAUGGGAAUGGCCAAGAACUCGACAUCUAUAAUCCCAGUGAAUGUAGGUGUGCUUCUUGACUUGGACAAUGACUUGGAUGGCAAGACUGGGUUGAGUUGCAUCAAUAUGUCCCUCUCAGACUUCUAUGAUACUCAUGGUGAUUACAAAACCAGGCUGGUCCUCGUCACCAGGGACUCCGAGAACGAUGUUGCUGGUGCAGCUGCUGCAGCCCUGGACCUGAUAAAAAAUGUUGAAGUGCAAGCAAUCAUAGGCCCAACAACAUCAAUGCAAGCCAAUUUUGUUAUUGAACUUGGAGAAAAAGCUCGGGUGCCCGUUAUAUCAUUUUCUGCAUCAAGUCCUUCUCUCACUUCCAUCAGGAGUCCCUUCUUCUUCCGAGCUACCCAAAAUGACUCAACUCAGGUGAAUGCUAUAAGUGCAUUAGUUCAAGCCUUUGGAUGGAGAGAAGCAGUACCCAUCUACAUUGACAAUGAGUAUGGACAGGGAGUGAUACCUUAUUUAACUGAUGCUCUGCAAGCAGUUGAUGCUCGUGUACCGUACCGGAGUGUCAUUUCUCCAUCAGCCACUGAUGAUCAAAUUGUUUCAGAGCUUUACAAGUUGAUGACAAUGCAAACUAGAGUUUUCAUUGUGCACAUGUUUCCAUCUCUUGGCGCUCGGGUUUUUGCCAAAGCAAAAGAGAUUGGCAUGGUGAGUGAAGGCUAUGUUUGGAUCAUGACUGAUGGUCUAACAGCUGAAUUUUUGAGUUCACCAAAUGCUUCUGUCACUAAUACAAUGCAAGGUGCAUUGGGUGUGAAACCUUAUGUGCCAAGAACAGAAGAUCUCGAAACUUUUCGAAUUCGGUGGAAAAGAAAAUUCCUACAAGAUAAUCCAGAUAUUGUUGAUGCUGAGUUGAAUAUUUUUGGCUUAUGGGCAUAUGAUGCAGCAACAGCUUUGGCCUUGGCAGUUGAGAAAGCUGGAACUGCAAAUUUAGGCUUCCAAAAGGCAAACGUUUCUAGCAAUUCAUCCACAGAUCUUGCAACUCUUGGGGCGUCUUUAAAUGGUCCAAACCUCGUUCAAGCUUUAUCAAACAUUACUUUCAAAGGUCUUACAGGAGAUUACCUUUUCGAUAAUGGACAGUUACAGUCAUCAGCUUUCCAGAUAAUAAAUGUGAAUGGCAAUGGGGGAAGAGAGAUAGGAUUCUGGACAUCAACCAAAGGGAUUGUCAAAACAUUGAACUCAACAAAUAAUAUGACUGCGUACUCAGGUUCUAACUCCGAUCUUUCAACGGUCAUAUGGCCGGGUGAUACAACUUCUGUUCCCAAGGGUUGGGAGAUCCCAACGAAUGGGAAGAAGUUGAGAAUAGGAGUGCCUGUGAAGGAUGGUUUCAGUGAGUUUGUGAAAGUAAAAAGAGAUCCUAGUUCUAACACCAAAACCGUCACUGGAUACAGCAUAGAUGUUUUUGAUUCUGUUGUCAAAGCAUUGCCUUAUGCUUUGCCUUACGAGUACAUCCCCUUUGCCAAGCCUGACGGCGAGCCAGCUGGAACUUACAAUGAUCUGAUAUAUCAAGUGUACUUGAAGAAUUUUGAUGCUGUAGUUGGAGAUACAACUAUUGUUUUCAACAGAUCCCAGUAUGUUGAUUUUACUUUGCCUUACACUGAAAGUGGUGUCUCCAUGAUCGUCCCUAUUGUGGACAACAACAGCAAAAAUGCAUGGGUUUUCUUGAGGCCUCUGACAUGGGAUCUCUGGGUGACGAGUUUUUGUUUCUUUAUUUUCAUUGGAUUUGUGAUCUGGGUUCUUGAACACAGAAUCAAUGAAGAUUUUAGAGGGCCUGCUUCACAUCAAGCGGGCACUAGCUUCUGGUUUUCUUUCUCAACCAUGGUUUUUGCACAAAGGGAGAUAGUUGUUAGCAACUUGUCCAGAGCAGUGAUAAUCAUAUGGUGUUUUGUUGUGCUGAUUCUCACACAAAGCUACACUGCCAGUCUAACUAGUUUACUUACAGUCCAGCAGCUGCGGCCUACAGUUACUGAUGUACAUGAGCUCAUUAAGAAGGGGGAGUAUGUAGGCUACCAGGAGGGUUCUUUUGUUCUGGGAAUCCUAUUAGACUUGGGUUUCGACAAGUCCAAGCUCAUUGUGUAUAAUUCCACAGAACAAUGUGAUGACCUUCUAUCGAAAGGAAGUGUAAAUGGUGGUAUUGCUGCUGCUUUUGAUGAAGUACCAUAUAUGAGGCUCUUUCUGUCAAAGUAUUGCUCUAAAUAUGCCAUGAUUGAUCCUACAUUUAAAACAGACGGUUUCGGAUUUGCCUUCCCUAAAGGUUCUCCUCUGGUACCAGAUGUAUCAAGGGCAGUUCUAAACAUGACAGAGGGAGAUAAAAUGAAGGAAAUUGAGAAUGCUUGGUUUGGAAAACAAAGCAAUUGUCCAGAUUCCAGCACCUCGGUUACAUCUAACAGCCUUAGUCUCAAGAGUUUCUGGGGCUUAUUUUUAAUUGCUGGAGUAGCAUCCCUCUUAGCUCUCAUUAUAUUCAUGUUCAUGUUUGUCUACAAGGAAAGGAAAAAGUUGAGGCCUUUAAAUUCCAGAAUUUCCAUAAGGAGAAAAGUCGGCAAUUUCUUCAGGAUCUUCAUUCAGAGGGACUUAAAAUCCCAUACUUUCAGAAAAAGUGGGCUGAGUGACAGAAAUGGCACUAGUCUGCCUAGUAUUGGCCCAUCGGCCUAUUCAGUUCAAACUACUUAUUUCCCUGGAGAUGGAGAUCAGUCUUCUACAGAGUUUGUUGAUUCCAGUCCACAUAGUCAAACAUCUCAAGAGGUAGUAAUAAAUAUUGAUCAACUUACAAGCCCAAAUCAAGAAAGACUAGCAGCUUUUGAAGUAGAACAUGAUCACAAUUGACUUUCAGAUGAUACCAUUGACAGUUUGACACUGGAAAUUUAUAGACCUGUAGAUAUAGUUGUAGCAUUGUAAUGUAAUUGUAGGCCAUCAGAGGCCUGGCAAUUCAUGGGAAAGUCCAAAGGAACAUGCAGGAGGCAAUACUAUAGAACACAUAUUGCUCUGUUUGAUUUCCUCGUUUGUGACACUCGAACUUCAAAUUGUAAAUAUUGAAUUACUAUAUAUAACAUAUUUAUAGCUAGGUAGGAUUAAACUGAGUUUCAGAAUUAUUAAAUUAUUAUCACAAAUUAUAGAUUUUCUUCA